rnacentral:rRNA from 1 species
GCGCGAUAAAAGGGAGCAAUCCCCGAGUAAAGCGGCGAACGGGUGAGUAACACGUAGGUAACCUACCCUCGAGACUGGGAUAACCUACCGAAAGGUGGGCUAAUACCGGAUAUGACCACGGGAGCCUCGGCUCCUGCGGUGAAAGGUGGCCUCUGCUUGCAAGCUACUGUUCGAGGAUGGGCCUGCGCGCCAUUAGCUCGUUGGCGGGGUAACGGCCCACCAAGGCGAUGAUGGCUAGCUGGUCUGAGAGGAUGGCCAGCCACACUGGGACUGAAACACGGCCCAGACUCCUACGGGAGGCAGCAGUGGGGGAUAUUGCGCAAUGGGCGAAAGCCUGACGCAGCGACGCCGCGUGGGUGAUGAAGGCCUUCGGGUCGUAAAGCCCUGUCGAGGGGGAAGAAACGGUCUCGACCCAAUACGUCGGGGCCCUGACGGUACCCCUAAAGGAAGCACCGGCUAACUCCGUG